UAGAUAAAUAAAAAUACACAGUAUGAUCUUCAGCACAUUCACAUAUUAUAUUCUAUUAGUUACUGGUAGAGUCUUAAAGAUUAGACAGCAGAUUGUUUUCAUUAUAGAAAUUAAUUUUGUCCCUGAAAAUAUAGAUAUUGUAGUACAUCCAAAAUCAUGAUCACAAUUAUACCAUCACUGUGAUAGAAAAGAUAGCAUGAUAUAAUCAGUGACUGGCCCAUGGUCAGCACAAGUUAUGUACUUUACAAGUGGUAUUCUAUAGGGUCAUUUUUGCGCUGCUGUCCUUAAGCCAUGUCUCUAUUUCCUGACACCAAGAUUCCACCCUAUAAUUUCAAAUGCAUGUUUAGAUGUUGCUUAUCUGUCCCCAUAGAGACAGAAUAAAUUCCUGGUCAUUACUGCAGCACAUCAGCAUGGUUACAAAGUUCUUGGAAGGGUCUCACGAAUUCCGCU
rnacentral:sRNA from 1 species